rnacentral:rRNA from 1 species
GCGAACGCUGGCGGCAGGCCUAACACAUGCCAGCCGAACGAACUCUUCGGAGUUAGUGGCGGCCGGGUGAGUAACACGUGGGAACGUGCCUUUUGGUUCGGAAUAACUCAGGGAAACUUGUGCUAAUACCGAAUGUGCCCUUCGGGGGAAAGAUUUAUCGCCAUUAGAGCGGCCCGCGUCUGAUUAGCUAGUUGGUGAGGUAACGGCUCACCAAGGCGACGAUCAGUAGCUGGUCUGAGAGGAUGACCAGCCACACUGGGACUGAGACACGGCCCAGACUCCUACGGGAGGCAGCAGUGGGGAAUCUUGCGCAAUGGGCGAAAGCCUGACGCAGCCAUGCCGCGUGAAUGAUGAAGGUCUUAGGAUUGUAAAAUUCUUUCACCGGGGACGAUAAUGACGGUACCCGGAGAAGAAGCCCCGGCUAACUUCGUG